UUUUUCUUUCUUUUUUUAAUUUGGUGUUAUUUGAGUUUUUAAUGUAAAUUGUCUCUUGUUUGUUUUGUUUUAUCUCAUCAAAUGUAAAUGUAGCCAUGGGUAAGGCCAAAACAAUACUUUGGCUACAUUAUGUGGGGAUGCCUCCUAGAAGAGGACUCGGGCGGAGAGUCCCACGAGGGGUUCGUUGACGUGUAAGCCGCUUAUUGGGUCGUCACGUGCGUCUUCACGUGCGUCUUAAACAACAAUUCUAUUUGCUAAUAAGUGGUUUUAAUUCAAUACAACCAAUCAGAGCUCUUUGGUUUGUGGAGGUGGAACAAAAAAGUACCUCAUUAAGACAUUAACUAGGAUACACAAUGUAUGCUUAGAGAGAUUGCAACUUUAUAAAAAGAGAGAGAGAUUAGUACUAUUAUCCUUUUCCGGUGUUUAAACAAACGACACCGUUUUAGAGCAAAGGCUGAAAAAACGUGCAUCCCAUCUAUAAAAGCUUGGCCAGUUUUGAUGACUAAAUACUUUCCGGCCCAUCAACCACCGUGAAGGCUUCUCUUUACCGUAAGGCUACGGAUUUGGAUCUCCUUCCUCAUGGAGCUGACUCAAUGUUCGAGUCUGAUGCUUCCAGAUCCAUAACGAGAUUCAGAAAUAGUGUUUCUACGCUGAAGGAAAUGCAUGAUCAGAUCAUAGCUCAAGCGGAAGAACUCAAGAAAGCUUUGUAUAAGAAAAGGGAACAAGAACAUCACUUGCGACCAACAAGGCUAAUGACCGUGAAAGGGAGAAGGUUAUGCAGUAAACUGGCACUUUGCUCUGACUUCACUUUUUUUUUUUUUUUCAGGUUUCUGCCAUAUGUACCACUUGAGUGGAUUUUGUCUCUUGUAGCUUUUCUUGGCUAACCAAGAGAAGUUCUACAAAUAAGUUGACAAGCACUGCUGGAAAGCAAUCUUCCCAUGUGUGGUUCCCAACAUUAAGAAAAACAUAGAGAAGAACAAGCAACCUUCAGUGAUGGUUAAUUUAGUUAGGAUCCUAAACCUGGGGUGACUAAACAAUAAUGUGGCUGUGUUUCUUGAAGCUCAAGACGAAUUUUCCACCACGUAUAAUAAUGCCACUUCCUCCAUCCUAAGUCUCCAAUAAAAACAGGGAAAAAGGAUACUAAAAGUGAAAACCGAUGUCAGGACAACUGUUAGGAGCCAAAAUCAGUUAGGAACAAACACAGAGACGCAGUUCUGAAACUGAGUGGAACGUGAAGCUUCGGAGACUAUUUUAUACUUAUUGGGUUUCAAGAGAGGAACAUAAGAAGAGAUAUAUACUCUGGAGAUUCUGGUACAAAUUCAAUGCUCUCUCUAAAGUAGUGUGCUGAAUAUUCAUAUGAUACAUUAUUGUGUAAUGUCCCACAAUAGAAAGAGAUAGUGAUAAAUAUUCAUGUGAUAUA